ACUCCUACGGGAGGCAGCAGUGGGGAAUAUUGGACAAUGGGCGCAAGCCUGAUCCAGCCAUGCCGCGUGAGUGAUGAAGGCCCUAGGGUUGUAAAGCUCUUUUGUGCGGGAAGAUAAUGACGGUACCGCAAGAAUAAGCCCCGGCUAACUUCGUGCCAGCAGCCGCGGUAAUACGAAGGGGGCUAGCGUUGCUCGGAAUCACUGGGCGUAAAGGGUGCGUAGGCGGGUCUUUAAGUCAGGGGUGAAAUCCUGGAGCUCAACUCCAGAACUGCCUUUGAUACUGAAGAUCUUGAGUUCGGGAGAGGUGAGUGGAACUGCGAGUGUAGAGGUGAAAUUCGUAGAUAUUCGCAAGAACACCAGUGGCGAAGGCGGCUCACUGGCCCGAUACUGACGCUGAGGCACGAAAGCGUGGGGAGCAAACAGGAUUAGAAACCCUUGUAGUCCCAUGA
rnacentral:rRNA from 1 species